UACGUAGGCAGCGAGCGUUGUUCGGAGUUACUGGGCGUAAAGAGUGCGUAGGCGGUUUUCUAAGUUUGGUGUGAAAUCUCCCGGCUUAACUGGGAGGGUGCGCCGAAGACUGGAAGGCUUGAGGAUGGGAGAGGUAAGCGGAAUUCCUGGUGUAGCGGUGAAAUGCGUAGAUAUCAGGAGGAACACCUGCGGUGUAGACGGCUUACUGGACCAUCACUGACGCUGAGGCACGAAAGCGUGGGUAGCAAACAGG
rnacentral:rRNA from 1 species